rnacentral:rRNA from 1 species
AUGCAGUCGUACGAGAGUUUUUACUCAAGUGGCGGACGGGUGAGUAACACGUAAUAAUUUGCCUUUAGGAGGGGGAUAACAACUGGAAACGGUUGCUAAUACCCCAUAUGCUUUCGAGUGAAAUGGGUUUCCGCCUAAAGAGAAGCUUGCGUCUGAUUAGCUUGUUGGUGAGGUAAUGGCUCACCAAGGCGACGAUCAGUAUCUGGUUUGAGAGGAUGAUCAGACACACUGGAACUGAGACACGGUCCAGACUCCUACGGGAGGCAGCAGUGGGGAAUUUUCCGCAAUGGGCGAAAGCCUGACGGAGCAAUACCGCGUGAGGGAUGAAGGCCUAUGGGUUGUAAACCUCUUUUUUCAGGGAGGAAUCAAUGACGUGUACCUGAAGAAUAAGCAUCGGCUAACUCCGUGCCAGCAGCCGCGGUAAGACGGAGGAUGCAAGUGUUAUCCGGAAUCACUGGGCGUAAAGCGUCUGUAGGUGGUCAAAUAAGUCAACUGUUAAAUCUUGAGGCUCAACCUCAAAAUCGCAGUCGAAACUAUUAGACUAGAGUAUAGUAGGGGUAAAGGGAAUUUCCAGUGGAGCAGUGAAAUGCGUAGAGAUUGGAAGGAACACCGAUGGCGAAGGCACUUUACUGGGCUAUUACUAACACUCAGAGACGAA